rnacentral:rRNA from 1 species
AACGAACGUUGGCGGCGUGCCUAAUACAUGCAAGUCGAGCGAGAAACGGGUAGCAAUACCCGGAGUACAGCGGCGAAAGGGUGCGUAUGACAUGAAGAACGUACCCACCGUUCGGGAUAACCCGCGAAAGCGGAGCUAAUACCGGAUACGGCCGCGGCGAUGCCUGUCGCUGCGGUGAAAGUCGCAAGACGCGGUCGGAGCG